UAUGUAUUCCCUCCGUUCGGAAUUACUUGUCGCAGAAAUGGAUGUAUCUAGAUGUAUUUUAGUUCUAGAUACAUCCAUUUCCGAGACAAGUAAUUCCGAACGGAGGGAGUAGUUU
rfam:Triticum aestivum genome assembly, contig: Triticum_aestivum_CS42_TGACv1_scaffold_002519_1AL